GCGUUUGGUCCACAGGCCUCUGGUGCGCGAACUUCAAGUGCACGUGGCCCUACUUCCAGCAUACGGACACCGAUUCACUACGGUGCCACAACCGCUACAACUCCUGGGCAUUCCGGUUCGAGAAGCCGUUCAAGGACCACUUCCAGGACUGGUUCACGUGCCUUGUCAAGGGGCAAAGCUAUCCAGUCAUCCGAAGGCAGUGAAGAGUCCGACCGCCAAGGCGACUCAGAAGAUGAGGACCCAAGCUUUCAGGUGCUUAGGAUGUCGCAGAUGUUUGAUGCUCCCCUAGGAACGCAGACUCAGGGUGAAUCGAGUCAGGCACCUCAGGAUGCACCCGCUUCUCCUCCGCGUCGCCGACAAAGGCGUUCUCGUGACCACACCGAUGUUGGUAGCGUGAACGUGCUCCCAACAGCUCCUGGAAGGCAACUGCGCCCCACCGACCCUUUCAGCCCUGCCGAGCGUGGACGGCGCCGUAGAUGAAGGAGCACGGACACUUUGUUCCUAGAUGUAUUGUAAAAAUGCUACCUAGAACCUAUUUGUGCUUGUCAUGAACUAUUUUUGCUUCUCAU